AGUGAACGCUGGCGGUAGGCCUAACACAUGCUAGUCGAACGGCAGCACAGUAAGAGCUUGCUCUUACGGGUGGCGAGUGGCGGACGGGUGAGGAAUACAUCGGAAUCUACUUUUUCGUGGGGGAUAACGUAGGGAAACUUACGCUAAUACCGCAUACGACCUACGGGUGAAAGCAGGGGAUCUUCGGACCUUGCGCGAUUGAAUGAGCCGAUGUCGGAUUAGCUAGUUGGCGGGGUAAAGGCCCACCAAGGCGACGAUCCGUAGCUGGUCUGAGAGGAUGAUCAGCCACACUGGAACUGAGACACGGUCCAGACGCCUACGAGAGGCAGCAGUGGGGAAUAUUAGACAAUGGGCGCAAGCCUGAUCCAGCCAUACCGCGUGGGUGAAGAAGGCCUUCGGGUGGUAAAGCCCUUUUGUUGGGAAAGAAAAGCAGCAGGUUAAUACCCCGCUGUUCUGACGGUACCCAAAGAAUAAGCACCGGCUAACUGCGUG
rnacentral:rRNA from 1 species